GAUGAACGCUGGCGGCGUGCCUAAUACAUGCAAGUCGAGCGAACGGACUAGAAGCUUGCUCCUCUGAUGUUAGCGGCGGACGGGUGAGUAACACGUGGAUAACCUACCUAUAAGACUGGGAUAACUUCGGGAAACCGUAGCUAAUACCGGAUAAUAUUUUGAACCGCAUGGUUCAAAAGUGAAAGACGGUCUUGCUGUCACUUAUAGAUGGAUCCGCGCUGCAUUAGCUAGUUGGUAAGGUAACGGCUUACCAAGGCAACGAUGCAUAGCCGACCUGAGAGGGUGAUCGGCCACACUGGAACUGAGACACGGUCCAGACUCCUACGGGAGGCAGCAGUAGGGAAUCUUCCGCAAUGGGCGAAAGCCUGACGGAGCAACGCCGCGUGAGUGAUGAAGGUCUUCGGAUCGUAAAACUCUGUUAUUAGGGAAGAACAAAUGUGUAAGUAACUGUGCACAUCUUGACGGUACCUAAUCAGAAAGCCACGGCUAACUACGUG
rnacentral:rRNA from 1 species